UACGGAGGGGGCAAGCGUUAUCCGGAUUUACUGGGUGUAAAGGGAGCGUAGGCGGCAAGGUAAGCCAGAAGUGAAAGCCCGCGGCUCAACUGCGGGACUGCUUUUGGAACUAUCUAGCUAGAUUGCAGGAGAGGGAAGUGGAAUUCCAUGUGUAGCGGUGAAAUGCGUAGAGAUAUGGAGGAACACCAGUGGCGAAGGCGGCUUCCUGGUCUGCAACUGACACUGAGGCGCGAAAGCGUGGGGAGCAAACAGG
rnacentral:rRNA from 1 species